rnacentral:tRNA from 1 species
GGGGCCAUAGCUCAGCUGGUAGAGCGCCUGCUUUGCACGCAGGAGGUCAGGAGUUCGACUCUCCUUGGCUCCACCA